CGUUUUCCGCUUCCAGUGUGAACACCACGUCAGCAUGCAAGAAGUAUCUGCAAGUAACUUGCAGCUUUUAGGAUUUAUUUCUAUUUCCUGCAAGUAGGAAGCGCAAGUUAUCAUAAAAAUGGAGGAGAGACGGGAAUGGAUGAAGCAGGAUACAGAAUAUUUCAUUGAAGCCAUGGAGAGGUACCCCGAAAUACGGAAAGUGCAUAACCGAGACUUUAAGGACAGAGUGAAGAAGAUGAGCGCAUUAAAUGAAAUCUCGUCGAUAUUCGACUCAUCUAUAAAAGAAGUACAUAGAAAGUAGCAUAACUUGAAGACACAACCCUUUGCCACGUGCAUCCACUCGCUUGUUAUUUUAGGAGUCUAGAAAAAGACGAUGUGUAAUUAUUACAUGUUCUAUUCACUUAGCUUGUCACUUUCCAUUUUAUGAGCAUUAGAAAAAUAACAUUUUUAUAAGCAUAUCAUUCUGUAAAAUGCAGUUUAUUUCAAUAACAAUUUAAUGUCA